ensembl:rRNA 5S_rRNA 5S ribosomal RNA
GUCUAUGGCCAUUCUAUCCUGAAUGCACCCAAUUGCUCGUCUGAUCUCAGAAGCUAAGUAGGAUUGGGCCUGGUUAGUACUUAGAAGGGAGAAAUCUGGAAAACAAGAACAAAAGCCA